GAUCUCCUGGACGCCGCCGCCGCCUCCUCCUAUUCUCCUCGAUUCGCAACUCCUCGCAGCCGACCUGCUUGGCGUUGAGCCUCCACCCCCCUCCAUGGCCACCGCCCAGCAGCAUCUGCAUCCAUUAGCUCCAAAUCGGUGUGGCUGCGGGGCGCGACGGCGGAGAACGCGCAACGGCCGCGGUGGCGGCAUACCUCGCCAUGGCGACGAAGGAGCUUGUGGACCAUGGCGGAGGUGGCUUGGCAACAGAUCGAGGCGGCACUCCUGCAGAUCUAGCUGGCAUGGAGGCGGCGGUCAUAACAAGUUCUGCUUGGCCUUCCCCUCACCGGCCAAGCACUCCGCUUUUCUCUCCCUCUCUCUCUCUCUCCCAAUUAUCUCUGUCACCAAAUCCCCCUCUCAGAUCUGCUCUCUCUCCUCCCCUAGCAGAUGGCUUCGCAUGGGGACACGACACGGCAGCCAUGGUGGUGGCGCUCCUCUAUGAGCACGGCCAAUGGUGCAGCAAUUCAAGACGUUUCAGGUAGAAAAAUGCAAUGGGGUGGAGAUAAAAGAAAGUGUCAUCUUGCUUCCGUUCAACUUCAAGGUACAGAAGUGCCAUCUUGCUUCAGUGCAACUAGAAGGUGAAUUUCAGUUGAUCUUUAGUUUACUUGACUAAAAGAUAUACUGAGCUUGCACAAGUUUAGAUAACUAGCUGGGAGUCAUACAUAAGGAGUUGUAGAGUUUAAAGCAAUCUAUCAUAUGAUGAUUUUAGAUCUCAAAAAUGUAUACUCGCGGAGUUCUCAUAUGAUGACUAUAGAUCUAAAAGAAUAUAUAUUAAGUACUCAUUUAUUUAUUUUAUUCCAAUAGCUUGAUGGAUGUCAAUCUGAUCUGUAUGUAACAUGUAAAUGGAGUUAUCAGACAAGCUGGUCUUGAUGGAGCUGAAAAAUUGUAAAUACAGGUGCAAGUCUGUUUGUGUA